rnacentral:rRNA from 1 species
UUUUGGACAAUGGGGGCAACCCUGAUCCAGCAAUGCCGCGUGCAGGAAGAAGGCCUUCGGGUUGUAAACUGCUUUUGUCAGGGAAGAAAUCCUGUGGGUUAAUACCUCGUGGGGAUGACGGUACCUGAAGAAUAAGCACCGGCUAACUACGUGCCAGCAGCCGCGGUAAUACGAAGGGGGCUAGCGUUGCUCGGAAUCACUGGGCGAAAGCGCACGUAGGUGGGUCGUUAAGUCGGGGGUAAAUCCCGAGCUCAACUCCGGAACUGCCUUCGAUACUGGCGACCUUCAGUCCGGGAGAGGUGAGUGAACUGCGAGUGAGAGGUAAAUUCGAGUUUCGCAAGACACCAGUACAAGGCGGCUCACUGGCCCGUCUGCUCUGAGGCAGAUAGUACUUG